rnacentral:rRNA from 1 species
GAUGAACGCUGGCGGCGUGCCUAAUACAUGCAAGUCGAGCGAACGGACGAGAAGCUUGCUUCUCUGAUGUUAGCGGCGGACGGGUGAGUAACACGUGGAUAACCUACCUAUAAGACUGGGAUAACUUCGGGAAACCGGAGCUAAUACCGGAUGAUAUUUUGAACCGCAUGGUUCAAAAGUGAAAGACGGUCUUGCUGUCACUUAUAGAUGGAUCCGCGCUGCAUUAGCUAGUUGGUAAGGUAACGGCUUACCAAGGCAACGAUGCAUAGCCGACCUGAGAGGGUGAUCGGCCACACUGGAACUGAGACACGGUCCAGACUCCUACGGGAGGCAGCAGUAGGGAAUCUUCCGCAAUGGGCGAAAGCCUGACGGAGCAACGCCGCGUGAGUGAUGAAGGUCUUCGGAUCGUAAAACUAUGUUAUUAGGGAAGAACAUAUGUGUAAGUAACUGUGCACAUCUUGACGGUACCUAAUCAGAAAGCCACGGCUAACUACGUG